AGAGUUUGAUUCUGGCUCAGAACGAACGCUGGCGGCAGGCUUAACACAUGCAAGUCGAGCGCCCCGCAAGGGGAGCGGCAGACGGGUGAGUAACGCGUGGGAACGUACCCCCCGGUUCGGAAUAACUCAGGGAAACUUGAGCUAAUACCGGAUACGGCUGAGAGGCGAAAGAUUCAUCGCCGGGGGAUCGGCCCGCGUCCGAUUAGCUAGUUGGUGUGGUAACGGCGCACCAAGGCGACGAUCGGUAGCUGGUCUGAGAGGAUGAUCAGCCACAUUGGGACUGAGACACGGCCCAAACUCCUACGGGAGGCAGCAGUGGGGAAUAUUGGACAAUGGGCGCAAGCCUGAUCCAGCCAUGCCGCGUGAGUGAUGAAGGCCUUAGGGUUGUAAAGCUCUUUCGCCCACGACGAUAAUGACGGUAGUGGGAGAAGAAGCCCCGGCUAACUUCGUGCCAGCAGCCGCGGUAAUACGAAGGGGGCUAGCGUUGUUCGGAAUUACUGGGCGUAAAGCGCGUGUAGGCGGGUCCUUAAGUCAGGGGUGAAAUGCCAAGGCUCAACCUUGGAACUGCCUUUGAUACUGGGGAUCUUGAGUCCGGGAGAGGUGAGUGGAACUGCGAGUGUAGAGGUGAAAUUCGUAGAUAUUCGCAAGACACCAGUGGCGAAGGCGGCUCACUGGCCCGGAACUGACGCUGAGACGCGAAAGCGUGGGGAGCAAACAGGAUUAGAUACCCUGGUAGUCCACGCUGUAAACGAUGGAUGCUAGCCGUUGGGGAGCUUGCUCUUCAGUGGCGCAGCUAACG
rnacentral:rRNA from 1 species